AGGUUAAUGUGGACCUCAUCUCCAACUUGGGAGGCCUGGUUUUCACUGGGGCCAGAGGUGGUCUUCCUUCCCAUCUUUUAGUAGAAGCAGACUGGCAGGUGAAAGGACGCCGAACAGGCCAGAGUCUUCGCGGCAUUCUGCGCUUCUGGGGAAGGCGUCCUGACCACGUCGGCAUUGUGGAACCCAAAGAGGAGAUCCUGCCAACCACCCCCAUCUCUGAGCAGAAGGGAGCCAAGCCAGAGCAGCAGGCACAGCCCCCUGCCAUGCCCCAGCCUGUGCCCACCGCUUAAUGGGAUGCUGAACACCAGGACGUAAAGUUCUUGCAUUCGGCUUAAAUCUGUAAAAUAAAAAACGCCCAAAAAAUGUA